AACAUCGUCCGUAUUGAAUGAACACAUCAGGCUGCAGGACAGAAGGACUUUUGAGGACCACUUCACUUUGGGAAUACAACUAUAACCUGAACACAGUGGAAUUAUUCUCAGUCAGAACACGGUACAUCAUGAUGAAGCUAUUGUUUUGAUUUCCAGUGCAACACUGCGUGACUUAAGAUGGGAAACGGAAGCUGGAGGUGAUUCCCUCAUUUCAGUGGGAGUUGCUUGGCGCAGUAUUAAAAUGUCGAAGUGAAAGUACCAGGCUGAAGAACUUCUAAACCACCACUGUUGACAUCCUGUUUAUUCCUCACUAGCAAAAGAGGCCAUGGACAGAUGGUGUCUCCUUCAGUUGAUUCAAGUACUUCUCAUCACACCCUGUUUCUGUAAAGAUGCUGAACUUGACUGUCCUGACAUAAAAAUGACUGUUGGGCAGCCAUUAAAUUUAACCUGCACAGUUACGUGUGAAGACUGCAAAGCAAUCCUAUAUAAAUGGAAGAAGGACAACAAAACACUGAAACAUGAGAAUAGUACUGGUCAGCUUCAGUUUUAUUACCCAAUUCAGAAUCUGUCCAUGGAACAUAAUGGAACAUAUACAUUUUGGGUGCAGCUGAAUACUAGCUCUCUUACAAAGAACUUCAGUGUGAUCUUAUCAGAAAAAGAAUAUUUUGGCAGCAGCGGUCUUCAUAAUCAUCAUAUAAGUGUAACUUUUGUGGCCCUCCUGUCUGUCUUAGCCCUCAUUGGUUUGGCAGUUUUCUUCAGAAAGUAUAUAACAGUGGUUUUUCAGAGACUCCAAGAGAGCCUGAACAUGAACAUCUGCAAGAAACAAAACAUAUCGCAGGGAGUAGUGUGACAAGUUGAGCACUAGUGCUAAUCAGUCAAUCAUAACGAAAAAGUUUAUGCAAUCAUCGACCAUCUCUUCUCCAUGUCUCCUUUCUAGUGUUCUAUACAUUUACAAUUUUUAUACAUUUUAAAACAUUUUUAGAGGUCUGCAGGGUGACCUGAACCUGAAGCGGUCAUCAAAAGAUUUUUAUGUACAGCAUCUGGCCUGGUUUGGGCUGGUUGUCAAAGUGAGUGAUUUUUUUCGUACACUAGAAAAAACAGAUUUGGAGUUUCAACUAAAAAACAAGGCUACCUUAAAUUUUAUUUUUAUUACAGAUAGUAAGAGGAAAGUGGGCUGCUAUUACAGUCAGCAGGGUGCCGAUCAAGCUUAAGAGACCCUUAUUAGUCCCACAAUGGGGAAACUUCACCUCCACAUUUGACCCAUCCAUGCUGUGAAACA